ACUAUCCUCAUCAAAAUAAAGUUGCAGCCACAUGAAAUGCACUUAAUCAUCUUUAUGAAACCUUGGACCAGUGGAAUAAAAAUGGAGUUCAAAUGAAAUGCACAUAAUCAUCUUUUUGGAGCAACUUUUAUGCUGUUUUGCUUAUGUCCUCGCAUUCCUUAUCCCUUCCUUUUUUUUUUGACCAUUGGACUUAUCUUUAUGUCUUCUUAAAUGAUCAACAGCUUUCUGUUUAAAUGCAACACUCUUAACUAUGCUUAUGGUGGGCCUCAUUCUAUGGUUUUUCUUUUGAGCAUAAGAUUGUAUAAGAAAGAAAAGCACUCCUGCAACACUCUUAACAUCCCCUCCUCAUCACCAAAACUGAGCCUAAUUGUUCAAAGGGGAAUUAUAGUAAAAGCAAUUUUGACAAUCAAGUGGCGUAUAAAUUGCCACUUGCCCAUCGAAUUUGUAAGGAUACGGAAGCACUUUUGAAAAUAAUUGCCCAGGUAAAAGUAACUUUCAGAAUCAUACUUGAGACAUGCGGAUCUUUCAUAUGGGUUCCACAAUUAUGGUGACCGUUCUCGAAAUGCGAUUCAAAGGCAAGGGCUCUCCCCUUUUGGUAGUUGUGUUUAAUGAAAGUUGGAUGGUAAAAAGAAAUUAAAUCGUGUGUAAUGUUGAUGAUUUUAGUGUGGUUAUUAUAAAUAUUGAGAUAGCGUGGGUUCUUUUUA